AGUGAACGCUGGCGGUAGGCCUAACACAUGCAAGUCGAACGGCAGCACAGUAAGAGCUUGCUCUUACGGGUGGCGAGUGGCGGACGGGUGAGGAAUACAUCGGAAUCUACUUUUUCGUGGGGGAUAACGUAGGGAAACUUACGCUAAUACCGCAUACGACCUACGGGUGAAAGCAGGGGAUCUUCGGACCUUGCGCGAUUGAAUGAGCCGAUGUCGGAUUAGCUAGUUGGCGGGGGAAAGGCCCACCAAGGCGACGAUCCGUAACUGGUCUGCGAGGGUGAUCAGGCCCAAUGGAACCGAGACACCGUCCCGGAUCCCGAGGGGAGGAGGAGUGGGGAAUAAUUGACAAUGGGCGGAAACCUGGUCCAGCCAUUCCGGGUGGGUGAAGAAGGCCUUCGGGUUGUAAAGCCCUUUUGUUGGGAAAGAAAAGCAGCAGGUUAAUACCCCGCUGUUCUGACGGUACCCAAAGAAUAAGCACCGGCUAACUUCGUG
rnacentral:rRNA from 1 species